rnacentral:rRNA from 1 species
CUACGGGACGCUCCAGUGAGGAAUAUUGCACAAUGGGGGGAACCCUGAUGCAGCAACGCCGCGUGGAGGAUGACGCAUUUCGGUGUGUAAACUCCUUUUAUAUGUCAAGAAAAUGACGGUAGCAUAUGAAUAAGCACCGGCUAACUCCGUGCCAGCAGCCGCGGUAAUAGCGGAGGGUGCAAGCGUUACUCGGAAUCACUGGGCGUAAAGGACGCGUAGGCGGGUUGGAAAGUCAGGUGUGAAAUCCUACAGCUUAACUGUAGAACUGCACUUGAAACUUCUAAUCUAGAGUAUGGGAGGGGGAGAUGGAAUUAGUGGUGUAGGGGUAAAAUCCGUAGAUAUCACUAGGAAUACCUAAAGCGAAGGCGAUCUCCUGGAACAUUACUGACGCUAAGGCGUGAAAGCGUGGGGAGCAAACAGGAUUAGAUACCCCUGUAGUC